GACGAACGCUGGCGGCGUGCUUAACACAUGCAAGUCGAACGGAAAGGCCUGCUUUCCCUUGUGGAUUGCGGGUACUCGAGUGGCGAACGGGUGAGUAACACGUGAGUGAUCUGCCCCCAACUUGGGUAUAAGCCUGGGAAACUGGGUCUAAUUCCCGAUAGGACUGCAGGGUGGUGCCUGUGGUGGAAAACGAUUUUCUAGUGGUUGGGGAUGAGCUCGCGGCCUAUCAGCUUGUUGGUGGGGUAAUGGCCUACCAAGGCGGGGACGGGUAGCCGGCCUGGGAGGGUGGACGGCCACAUUGGGACUGGGUUACGGCCCAGACGGCUGCGGGAGGCAGGAGUUGGGAAGAAUGCAGAAUAGGCGGAAGCGUGAUGCAGCGACGCCGCGUGGGGGAUGACGGCCUUCGGGUUGUAAACUCCUUUCGACCGCGAGGAAGCCACCUGGUUGGGAGGGUGGUGACGGUAGUGGAAGAGGAAGCACCGGCUAACUACGUG
rnacentral:rRNA from 1 species